GAGGGAGCCUGGCCCCUCUGCACCCUCCCCUGAGGCAUCAAGUUACAGGAUUAGGUGCAUCUUCUCCCAUUGAGGCCAGAAUAGGUAGUCCCCUGCAUAUGUGCCUCAGACCAGCCCAUGCCUGCUCUUUGGUUUCUGGUAGCAGCUUGGGGAGUUUCCUAGGGUCCAGGUUAGUUAAUACUUUUGCCAUAUCCUUCAGUUCCUUCAAUCCUUCCCCUAACUCUUCCAUAGGGGUCCCUAACCCCAGUCCAAUGUUUGGCUGUGUCUGCAUCUGUCUCAGUCAGCUACUGGUAGAGCCUCUCAGAGGACAGCCUUUUCAUACCUCUCCUACUCCACAAAUGACUGUAUCGUGUCCCAUAUCUUACCCUUUGACUCAAAUUGUUACUUUAUGCUUUCUACACUGAUUUUUUUAAUCUGAAUUCUGCAUAUGAGAAAAUGUUUUAAGUCUUAUUUGUAUGUUUCAUAUUUUUGAAAAUUGUAUCUUUGUUUCUGUGUGUGUGUGAGCUUUCAUGGGUUAAAGUACACUACAUGCAUGAGUCCACAGAGGGCACAAAAGAGCAUUGGUUCUCCUGGAACUGGAGUUGGAGGUGAUUAUGAGUAAGGUAGUUGCAAGGAAGCAAACUUGGGUCCUCUGCAAGAGUAGUAAGCAUUGGUAACCACUGAGCCAUGUCUCUAGGUUCAUUCUCUAGUCUCAUUCUUUAUG
rnacentral:lncRNA from 1 species